rnacentral:rRNA from 1 species
AUUGAACGCUGGCGGCAGGCCUAACACAUGCAAGUCGAGCGGCAGCGGGACCUUCGGGUUGCCGGCGAGCGGCGGACGGGUGAGUCAUGCCUAGGAAUCUGCCUGUGAGUGGGGGAUAACGCGGGGAAACUCGCGCUAAUACCGCAUACGUCCUACGGGAGAAAGCGGGGGCUCUUCGGACCUCGCGCUAACAGAUGAGCCUAGGUCGGAUUAGCUAGUUGGUGGGGUAAUGGCCCACCAAGGCGACGAUCCGUAACUGGUCUGAGAGGAUGAUCAGUCACACUGGAACUGAGACACGGUCCAGACUCCUACGGGAGGCAGCAGUGGGGAAUAUUGGACAAUGGGCGAAAGCCUGAUCCAGCCAUGCCGCGUGUGUGAAGAAGGUCUUCGGAUUGUAAAGCACUUUAAGUCGGGAGGAAGGGCUGUAGGCUAAUACCUUGCAGUUUUGACGUUACCGACAGAAUAAGCACCGGCUAACUUCGUGCCAGCCGCCGCGGUAA